CAGAAGCUUCAUAUCAAAGCCACUUCUGUAAUUUGAUGAUAAACUGAGGGAGACGUUGGUGUUUUUCCUCCAUCAUGUAUCCUUUGGUCCUCCUGCUGCUGCUGGGAGCGAGGAGCUCAGAGUCCACGGGCCCUGUGCCUUACGACACCGUUGGCCAAAACUUUACCGUUGUGUUUCCGGAGAACAUCGCCAGCUACUACCCCAGCCCGCCCACAAACAUGGUCAUAAUCACUGCUUUGAAAAACGAGACAACAGUCCGAGUUCAA